GACGUAGGGCGCGAGCGUUGUCCGGAUUUAUUGGGCGUAAAGAGCUCGUAGGCGGCUUGUCGCGUCGACCGUGAAAACUUGGGGCUCAACCCCAAGCCUGCGGUCGAUACGGGCAGGCUCGAGUUCGGUAGGGGAGACUGGAAUUCCUGGUGUAGCGGUGAAAUGCGCAGAUAUCAGGAGGACCACCGAUGGCGAAGGCAGGUCUCUGGGCCGAUACUGACGCUGAGGAGCGAAAGCGUGGGGAGCGAACAGG
rnacentral:rRNA from 1 species